AUUGAACGCUGGCGGCACGCCUUACACAUGCAAGUCGAACGGUAACGGGCCUUCGGGUGCCGACGAGUGGCGAACGGGUGAGUAAUGCAUCGGAACGUACCUUUCAGUGGGGGAUAACGUAGCGAAAGUUACGCUAAUACCGCAUAUUCUGUGAGCAGGAAAGCAGGGGAUCGCAAGACCUUGCGCUGAUUGAGCGGCCGAUGUCAGAUCAGCUAGUUGGUGAGGUAAAGGCUCACCAAGGCGACGAUCUGUAGCGGGUCUGAGAGGAUGAUCCGCCACACUGGAACUGAGACACGGUCCAGACUCCUACGGGAGGCAGCAGUGGGGAAUUUUGGACAAUGGGGGCAACCCUGAUCCAGCCAUGCCGCGUGAGUGAAGAAGGCCUUCGGGUUGUAAAGCUCUUUCGGCCGGGAAGAAAUCGUAUGGGUUAAUACCCUGUGCGGAUGACGGUACCGGCAUAAGAAGCACCGGCUAACUACGUGCCAGCAGCCGCCGUAAUAC
rnacentral:rRNA from 1 species